rnacentral:lncRNA from 1 species
GGCAAUCCGGCAUGCCUCUCGCGGCCGUUGCCGCGCACCUCCACGUUCGGCGUAGCGCUGGGGGUGCGGCUGCUCGACGCCCUCUCCCAAGCCCCUGGCGGCCUCCACAGGGCGCUCGCCACCGCCUCCUCCACGCCGCGUCGCCCGCGGUCGUGGCCUGUGCUCGCUGUCCUCAAGUCCAUCUACACGCUCUCCAAUAACACGUACGUCCAACGAUCGUCGAGGGCUUCCUCGGCCUCCAGGUGCACAAGGGGUUCAGGAACGGGAUCGACGCGCUCGGGGUGGUCGUCAAGGUCGCCGUCAUCGUCUCUGAGGUCGCUGUUUGUGUGUGUGUGUGUGUGUGUGUGGGGGGGGGGGGGGGGGGGGGGGGGGGGGGGGGGGGGGGGGGUCCUCCUUGGCUGUAGCAAAUCUGAACCCCCCCCCCCCCCCCCCCCCCCCCCCCCCCCCCCCCCCCCCCCCCGAAGUUGCGCUCUUCGAUCCGGCCUCGGAAUUGCUCUCCCUCGUUGUGCGAGUUAGCCUUUAGCACAUAGUGACUGUUUGUACAUUUGCUUUUGUCAGAUAUAUGUCGAGGCGGUUCUUCAUCCAGUGCGUGCAACUAUGUUCGUGUACGAAUAGACAAGUGUGGUUCAAGAAACUGUACAUCAAUUUAUAGAGUGUUUGGUUUGAGGAAUGAUGUAGUCCAUCAUCUUCUCACACUUCACUUUUUUGUUUGGUUUGUGAAAUGGAGUGAGUUAAUCCAUCACCACCUCAUUCCUCAAAGUUAGUUGUUUAGUACUAAUAUGUGGAAUAGAGUCAUCCCACCAAAUUUGAGGAAUGAACCUAUUAUGCACCACUUCAUUUUGGAUAGAGUGAUUCAUCAAACCAAACACCUCAUUAAGGAUCCAAUCGUAUUGAUUUCAUCGAUCAAAUCUUUUUUGCCAGAGUAAAUUCUGACAUGGAAUUCUGAGUGUUGUUUUCUAGAUUGCCAUCCAGUCGGAGUUCCAAUUCUGUAGAAUGCUGGUUUGGGUGAAGCAUAGUUUGUAAAUUUGACCACUCAUUGUAGCUUAGCUGUAAUGGAGAUUUGCAACCUGGUACAUUGCCUACUUACCCCGUAGCGUCAAACCUUUUAGUUCAUUAAGAUUUUACUCUUUGCCGUAAUGCAACUGUGGAUACAUUACUCUCUAUAGAUCUGUAGUUUGUUCUUGGAUAACUCAAAUUAAACAGAAAAUCAACAGAAUUGGAUAUCUGGAAUUUCAUGGGCCUAUGAUUUAUCAGCAAGAUCAUUAACCUUACUAAACUCAAAGAGUAUAAUGUUGAACAUUUUUGCUAUGCUUAUUCAUAUUGUUCUUGUUAGUUCCAACUCUUGAUCCUUCUGCACAUAAGGGCACAGGCUAAAAAGGCCCAAUAUAUUAAGUUUACUUAUUACUGUGCUCUGUUGCCAUGUUUUUUGAUUCUCUGAUGUACCAUUGCUACAUUCUAUCCUUGAAAUUCUCUGAUGAGCAGAUCAAAUCUAGACUCUGCUACGAAGAAAUACUUAAGAGAUCCUCAGAACUUUUAUUUCUAUAGAUGACAUAGUUAUAUACACAAAUGACUCUUCUGGAGACUCACUACCACAUUCACUUGUGACAAUGGUAAACAAGUGACAGCAGAUUGACACAUACAUUAAAUCUACAUUAGUUGAACUAAAUUCUUGAGCUUCUAAUGAUGUAAGUUUAUUUUAAUGGAAAUAAAAAAACUGUGCUCGACGUCGCACAACUUCAAAUAAGACAUUGGGUCUUAGUUUUUGUGUGGUUGAGACUUGAGAAUCAUAUCCAUGAUUCAAUGGUGGAUUUAUACUUGUAGUUGUAGGGAUUUAAUCCAUUUAGUUGCGCAAGAAUGUCAGAUGUGUCCAGCAUGUCCUCUUCUUUCAUAUGGUCCUGAAAAAAAGGUAAGAGAUCUUGUUAACUAUGCAUAGAAGUAUUCCAGGUUCUUGUUUAAAAACAAUGAGAAUGCAUAAGAAGAAUCAUGUUUUUUUUUAUUCCAGGUUCUCGUUUGAUAAGACUGUGUAUAGUUCAAUUGAAAACUUACAGUUUGUUCAUAAUGUUCAUGACUCUGGGAGCCUGAUUGCGCUGCUUCACAGAGUUCAUCAUUCUUGGCAAACCUUCCACGGACACGGGGCCUGCUAUCCGCCAAGGUUUUUCUACAUGCGUACUGCAUUUCGUUGUAUGUCAGGCUGUCAGCACAGCUGAAUACGUAAGAUGUCCAUGCGGAG